rnacentral:rRNA from 1 species
UCCGUAGGUGAACCUGCGGAAGGAUCAUAGUAAUCGUCUUUGACGUUGCUUCUCCGCCGGUCGAGGACAACCGACCCCUCGCGUCCCGAGGCUAAACGACGUCCCGGUGUUACCUCCCUGGAGGCACACGUUAAAGAUCGUUCCGCAUUGUGAGUCUUGACACCAGCUGUACAAUUUUUUACAACCGGUGGCGUUGGAUCCCUUGGCACGUCAUUCGAUGAAGACCGUUGCAAAUUGCGAUAAAGUGAUGUGAUGCGCAAGUCCACCACUUAUACGUGAAUCAUCGAGUUGUUGAACGCACUGCACCGCGCCCUAACCCGGCUGCGGUAUGCCCCUUUGAGCGUCAUUGCUACCCUUCGGGAGUCUUUCCUUGGGAAGACCCGAGUUCGGAGUCCUCGGUCCUCGGAUCGUGUUCUCUCAGAUCCAUCGCGCCGAUCGUCCGGUAGGUCCUCUAAUGCCUGAGCGUGGAGAGCCUCUGGAGUUUUGAGCGGCGUUUGACCGCGUGGCGAGCGCUGGUCACCAAGUCCGCACGGCCCAGCCGUCGGUGCUACAACUCAUGACCUCAUUGGGGUAGGACAACCCGCUAGACUUAAGCAUAUUAAUCAGCGGAGGAAAAGAAACUAACCAGGAUUCCCUCAGUAACUGCGAGUGAAGAGGGACGAGCUCAAUGUGUGAAUCGGCCGGAGGUAGUGCUUCGUGUCUGAGUUGUGCACUAUGGACGCUUUGUCGGCAGGGCUUGGGGCGGAAGUGCCAAUGAAACAUGGCAUCAGAGAGGGUCAUAGUCCCGUGCUCGCUCAAUCCAAGCCCGUGUGCAGCGAAAAGUGCUCCGCGAGUCGCAUAGUUUGGUAAUGCUAUGCCAAGUGGGAGGUAGAGCCCUUCUAAAGCUAAAUAUGAUGAUGUGACCGAUAGUUCACAAGUACCGCGAGGGAAAGGUGAAAAGUAACCAUGUAGAAUGGGUUGAAAGAGAAGUGAAAGUGCUACCGGGAUAAGGGCAUGUGACAGCUGGUGUCUGUAGGGCGUGCUUCAGUGCUGUCCUUCUAGAACGGUGUGCGGAUGUGUCCGAUGGGGAGACAAGGCCGUCUGGGAAUGUGGCUCAACCUUCGGGAUGAGUGUUAUAGCCCGGCGUGCAAAAGAACCCCAUGACACAUGUGAACUGUGCAUCUUGCUGUGGCAUGCCUCCCGUCUCGAAACACGGACCAAGGAGUGCAUCUUGCAUGCGAGUCGAAGGGGGUUGGAAUCCCUGGAGGCGUAGCGAAAGCGAAAGACUGUGAAUUGUUGGCAGGCCCUUGUGGCCAGAUGGGAUGAUAAAUCAGCAGCGACCCGCUUUGUGCGAGGGAGAGCAUGCAGGAUACGACCCGAAAGAUGGUGAGCUAUGCUUGGACAAGGUGAAGCCAGUGGAAACGCUGGUGGAGGCCUGAAGCGGUUCUGACGUGCAAAUCGAUCGUGUGAUCUAAGUAUAGGGGCGAAAGACCUAUCGAACCGUCUAAUGGCUGGUUCCCCCCGAAGUUUCCCUCAGGAUAGC